CCUACGGGAGGCUGCAGUGAGGAAUAUUGGACAAUGGGCGAGAGCCUGAACCAGCCACGUCGCGUGAGGGAAGACGGACCUAUGGAUUGUAAACCUCUUUUGUCGGGGAGCAAAAAGGCCUCGUGAGGCCACAAGUGAGAGUACCCGAAGAAACAGCAUCGGCUAACUCCGUUCCAGCAGCCGCGGUAAUACGGUGGAUGCGAGCGUUAUCCGGAUUUAUUGGGUUUAAAGGGGGCGUAGGCGGACUGGAAAGUCAGCGGGAAAAUCGGGUGGCUCAACCUCGUUCCGCCGUUGAAACUGUCGGUCUUGAGUGGGCGAGAAGUAGGCGGAAUGCGUGGUGUAGCGGUGAAAUGCAUAGAUAUCAGGCAGAACGCCGAUUGCGAAGGCAGCAUACCGGAGCCCGACUGACGCUGAGGCACGAAAGCGUGGGGAGCGAACAGGAUUAGAUACCCUAGUAGUC
rnacentral:rRNA from 1 species